rnacentral:rRNA from 1 species
UACGGAAGGGGCGAGCGUUGUCCGGAAUUAUUGGGCGUAAAGAGCUCGUAGGCGGUCUGUCGCGUCUGCUGUGAAAACCUGGGGCUUAACCCCGGGCUGCAGUGGGUACGGGCAGACUAGAGUGCGGUAGGGGAGACUGGAAUUCCUGGUGUAGCGGUGAAAUGCGCAGAUAUCAGGAGGAACACCGGUGGCGAAGGCGGGUCUCUGGGCCGUAACUGACGCUGAGGAGCGAAAGCAUGGGGAGCGAACAGG